rnacentral:lncRNA from 1 species
ACCACCACCUUAUGAGUACAAUUCACCUCCUCCACCAACUGCUUCACCGCCACCUCCUUAUGAGUACAAGUCACCACCUCCUCCACCAAUUGAGCACAAACCACCACCUUAUGAGUAUAAAUCACCACCUCCACCACCACAUGAGCACAAGGCUCCUCCGUACGAGUAUAAGUCACCCCCUCCGCCAUCACCAUCACCUCCACCACCUUAUGAGUAUAAAUCACCACCUCCACCACCACAUGAGCACAAGGCUCCUCCGUACGAGUAUAAGUCACCCCCUCCGCCAUCACCAUCACCUCCACCACCUUAUGAGUAUAAAUCACCACCUCCACCACCACAUGAGCACAAGGCUCCUCCGUACGAGUAUAAGUCACCCCCUCCGCCAUCACCAUCACCACCACCUCCUUAUGAGUAUAAAUCACCACCUCCCCCACCACAUGAGCACAAGGCUCCUCCGUACGAGUAUAUUUCACCACCCCCACCAUCACCAUCACCACCACCUCCUUAUGAGUAUAAAUCACCACCUCCACCACCACAUGAGCACAAGGCUCCUCCUUAUGAGUACAAGUCACCACCACCUCCAUACGUAUACAAGUCACCACCUCCACCACCAUAUGAACACAAGGUUCCUCCCUACGAGUACAAGUCACCACCUCCACCAUCACCAUCACCACCACCUCCUUACAUAUACAAAUCACCACCUCCACCACCACCAUAUGAGCAUAAGUCUCCUCCUUAUGUGUACAAGUCCCCUCCCCCACCACCAUAUGAGCACAAGUCUCCACCUUACGUAUAUAAGUCACCCCCUCCUCCUUCACCGUCACCACCACCCCCAUAUGUAUAUAAGUCACCACCACCUCCACCACCAUACGAGCAUAAGUCUCCUCCUUAUGUGUACAAGUCACCUCCUCCUCCACCACCAUAUGAACACAAAUCUCCACCCUACUAUUACAGCUCUCCUCCUCCACCUCCUUACUACUAUAAAUCUCCCCCACCACCUUCACCAUCUCCUCCACCACCUUAUUAUUAUGAGUCUCCACCACCACCAGUAAAGUCUCCAUCUCCAAAGCCUUACUAUUAUAAAUCUCCUCCACCACCAUCUCCUGUACCCCAUCCACCUUACUACUACAACUCUCCUCCUCCACCAUCUCCUUCACCUCCUCCACCUUACUAUUAUAAUUCUCCACCACCUCCUUCACCGUCUCCUCCACCACCGUACUACUAUAAAUCUCCUCCUCCUCCAUCUCCUAAACCGCACCCCCCUUACUACUAUAACUCUCCACCACCUCCAGUAAAAUCUCCACCUCAUCCAACACCUUACUACUACAAAUCUCCACCACCACCCACUCCAUACUAUUAUAAUUCUCCUCCUCCACCUGUCGUGUAUCCUCCACAUCCCCACCAUCACCCAUUGAUUGUGAAGGUUGUGGGCAAAGUCUACAGCUAUAAGUGCUAUGACUGGGAGUAUCCUGAAAAGUCACACAACAAGAAGCAUCUCAAAGGUACACGACAUUCUCUACGUCAUUUUUUAGUUCGAAAGUCUUAUUAUUGUUACAAUUGAAUUGUCAAUUCUUAUGCUUUUGAGCAUUGCUCGUUAUUAUCUUCAUUUGGCAUUCACUUUUUUUCGUUAGAGAAUGCACGUCUUUGUCUAGUAGAACUUGUGCUUCAUUUUACACAAGCAUUUGCUAUUAGUACUCACAGUAUUUUGUCGCUAAACUUUUCGUGAUGCUUGCAGUUCCAAUCAUAUUAGAUAACUCUAGAGCAUGUAGAAAUUAAAUGUUAGAAUGCAUUAACUUAAUUUAUCUUGAACCGACCACCUAAUCGGAAAACCAAAAUGAAUGCAUUAAUAUUUGAUGCUUAAAUUAGUAAAGUGUCAAUUAGACUUUUUAAUAAUGUAUAGAAUUGGAGAACCUUUUGUUACAGUUGAUAGGUAAGAUACAAUCAAUGUCUCAAUGUACAUUCACCAUCACAUUACUAAAAAAGAACCUUUUCUUAUUCAAAACUGGUUGUAGCAUGUAAUUAACACCAACACUCAACAUGAAAAUGAUAGUUUUCUUUUUCUUCAUAAAUAAACAUGAAAAGGAUAGUUUAACUCGAGAUUCUUUUUAUAAUUUGCUCCAAUAUAAUAUCUUUGGUGGAUUUAUGAUAUCUUGUCGUAUUAUUGUUUGCUAAUUGUAAUAUUUCAAUUAUGGAUCAGGUGCUGUUGUGGAGGUCAAAUGCAAAGCAGGCAGACACAUCAUCAAGGCUUACGGGGAAACUAAGAGCAAUGGAAAGUAUAGCAUUACAGUUAAGGACUUUGACUAUGCUAAAUAUGGCUCCAGGGUAUGCAAGGCUAGGUUACAUGCUCCACCUAAGAACUCACCCUUCAACAUACCCACUAAGCUAAACGAAGGAACCGACUUGAAGGUGAAAUCAAAGGACAAAUAUGAAGUUGUGCUUGAAGCUAAGCCAUUUGCCUAUGCUUCAAAGAAACAUUUUGAAGAAUGUGAAAAAUCCAAGCCUUCACCAACUCCCUACUAUUAUAAAUCACCACCACCUCCAUCACCGGUUUACAUAUACAAGUCUCCACCUCCACCAUCACCUACAUAUGUAUACAAGUCACCACCUCCACCAGUUCACCACUAUUCUCCUCCGUACUAUUACCAAUCCCCACCACCACCUUCACCAAAACCCAAUCCUCCAUAUUACUACCAAUCCCCACCUCCACCUUCACCAAAACCCAAGCCUCCGUACUACUACCAAUCUCCACCUCCACCAACACCAGUAGUAAAGCCACCUUACUACUACCAAUCUCCACCUCCACCAUCACCGGUACCCAAACCUCCAUACUACUACCAAUCACCACCUCCACCAUCACCAAAACCCAAGCCUCCAUACUACUACCAAUCCCCACCUCCACCAACACCAGUAGUAAAGCCACCUUACUACUACCAAUCUCCACCUCCACCAUCACCGGUACCCAAACCUCCAUACUACUACCAAUCACCACCUCCACCAUCACCAAAACCCAAGCCUCCAUACUACUACCAAUCCCCACCUCCUCCAUCACCAGUACCUAAGCCUCCAUACUACUACCAAUCUCCACCACCCCCAUCACCAGUACCCAAGCCUCCAUACUAUUACCAAUCUCCACCUCCACCUUCACCGAAACCCAAGCCUCCGUACUAUUACCAAUCCCCACCACCACCUUCACCAAAACCAAAGCCUCCGUACUAUUACCAAUCCCCACCUCCACCAUCGCCAGUACCCAAGCCUCCGUACUACUACCAAUCUCCGCCUCCACCAUCACCGGUACCUAAACCUCCAUACUACUACCAAUCUCCACCUCCACCAUCACCAGUAACAAAGCCUCCGUACUAUUACCAAUCUCCGCCUCCACCAUCACCGGUACCUAAACCUCCAUACUACUAUCAAUCUCCACCUCCACCUUCACCAAAACCCAAGCCUCCGUACUAUUACCAAUCCCCACCUCCACCUUCACCUAAACCCAAGCCUCCUUACUACUACCAAUCCCCACCUCCUCCGUCACCGGUGCCUAAACCUCCAUACUAUUACCAAUCUCCACCUCCACCAUCACCAUCACCCCCACCACCUUAUUAUUACCAUUCUCCUCCUCCACCAUCACCAUCUCCCCCUC